UACGUAGGGCGCAAGCGUUAUCCGGAAUUAUUGGGCGUAAAGAGCUCGUAGGCGGUUUGUCGCGUCUGCCGUGAAAGUCCGGGGCUCAACUCCGGAUCUGCAGUGGGUACGGGCAGACUAGAGUGUGGUAGGGGAGACUGGAAUUCCUGGUGUAGCGGUGAAAUGCGCAGAUAUCAGGAGGAACACCAGCGGCGAAGGCGGUGCUCUGGGCCGGAACUGACGCUGAGGCGCGAAAGCCAGGGGAGCAAACGGG
rnacentral:rRNA from 1 species